UACGUAGGGGGCAAGCGUUGUCCGGAUUUAUUGGGCGUAAAGCGCUCGCAGGUGGUUCGUCGCGUCGUGCGUGAAAGACCCCGGCUCAACUGGGGAGGGUCGUGCGAUACGGGCGGACUGGAGGCCAGUAGGGGGAUGCGGAAUUCCGGGUGUAGUGGUGGAAUGCGUAGAGAUCCGGAGGAACACCAGCGGCGAAGGCGGCAUCCUGGACUGGUCCUGACACUCAGGAGCGAAAGCGUGGGGAGCGAUCCG
rnacentral:rRNA from 1 species